rnacentral:miRNA from 1 species
UGUUUCCUAUCCAGGCAGCACU